AGGAAGAUAUGUCUUUGGAAACACUAGUUCGACUGAAAAAACAAAAAAGUUCUUUGGACGAAGAAAUAAAGGGACUGAGAAACACGAUUUCACAGCGGAACGCAGAGCUGACAGAGUCUCAUAACCAACGGAGGAACCUUGAGGAGGAACUGAACCGGAUAGCGCUGAGAAACAACGGCCUUGAGCAAGUUGAUCUGGUAAAUAACCACACGAUGGAGCAGAUGCAGCAGCAAAAGGACAGUAUAGACU